rnacentral:lncRNA from 13 species
CAGUUUAACACUGGCCCUCAUCAAUUUCACUCUACCCCUCAUCAGUUUAACAAUACCCCUCAUCAGUUUAACACUAGCCCUCAUCAGUUUAAUACUACUCCUCAUCACUUUAACCCUACUCCCCAUCAGUUUAACCCUACUCCCCAUCAGUUUAACCCUACUCCCAAUCAGUUUAACCCUACCUCCCAUCAGUUUAACCCUACUCCCCAUCAGUUUAACCCUACUCCCCAUCACUUUAACACUACUCCCCAUCAAUUUAACCCUACUCCCAAACAGUUUAACCCUACUCCCCAUCAAUUUAACCCUACUCCCUAUCAAUUUAACUCUACCCCUCGUCAGUUUAACACUACCCCCCAUCAGUUUAACACUACCCCUCUUAAAUUUAACUCUGCCCCUCAUCAAUUUAACUCUACCCCUCAUCAGUUUAACAAUACCCCUCAUCAAUUUAACUCUACCCUCAUCAGUUUAACAAUACCCCUCAUCAGUUUAAAACUAGUCCUCAUCAGUUUAACACUAGUCCUCAUCAGUUUAACACUACCCCUCAUCAGUCUAACACUACCCGUCAUCAGUUUAACACUAGCCCUCAUCAGUUUAAUACUACUCCUCAACACUUUAACCCUACUCCGGAUCAGUUUAACCCUACUCCCCAUCAGUUUAACCCUACUCCCAAUCAGUUUAACCCUACCUCCCAUCAGUUUAACCCUACUCCCCAUCAAUUUAACCAAAGUCCCCAUCAGUUUAACCCUACUCCCCAUCAGUUUAACCCUACUCCCCAUCAGUUUAACUCUACCCCUCAUAACUUUAACACUACCCCUCAUCAAUUUAACUCUACCCCUCUUAAUCUUAACUCUACCCUUCAUCAGUUUAACACUACCCCCCAUCAGUUUAACUCUACCCCUCAUAACUUUAACACUACCCCUCAUCAAUUUAACUCUACCCCUCAUCAGUUUAAAACUACCCCUCAUCUGUUUAACAAUACCCCUCAUCAGUUUAACCCUACUCCCCAUCAGUUUAACCCUACUCCCCAUCAAUUUAUCUCUACCCCUCUUAAUCUNNNNNNNNNNUUUAACCCUACUCCCUAUCAAUUUAACUCUACCCCUCGUCAGUUUAACAAUACUCCUCAUCAGUUUAACACUAGCCCUCAUCAGUUUAAUACUACUCCUAAACACUAUAACCCUACUCCACAUCAGUUUAACCCUACUCCCAAUCAGUUUAACCCUACCUCCCAUCAGUUUAACCCUACUCCCCAUCAAUUUAACCCUACUCCUCAUCAGUUUAACCCUACUCCCCAUCAGUUUAACCCUACUCCCCAUAAGUUUAACCCUACUCC